rnacentral:sRNA from 1 species
UUUAAGGUCACUUCCCCAUUUUCGGGUAUCUUUUCAGCAGUGCCCCAUUCUACUAGUACUAAUUUACUAAAUUAGUCCGUUUUCAUGCUGCUGAUAAGGAAAUACCCAAGACAGGGCAAUUUACAAAAGGAAGAGGCUUAAUUAGGCUUACAGUUCCACGUGGCUUGGGAAGCCUCACAAUCAUGGUGGAAGGCAAGGAGAGGAGCAAGUCCCGUCUUACAUGGAUGGCAGCAGGCAAAGAGAGAAUGAGGAAGAUGCAAAAGCAGAAACCCCUGAUAAAACCAUCAGAUCUUGUGAGACCUAUUCACUACCACGAGAACAGUAUGGGGGAACCGCCCCCAUGAUUCAGUUAUCUCUUCCCGGGUCCUUCCUACAACAUGUGGGAAUUAUGGGAGUACAAUUCAAGAUGAGAUUUGGGUGAGGGCACAGCUAAACCAUAUCACCAUUUUAAACAGAUGAGGAAAUGAAGGCACUGAGAAGUUAAAUAACUUGCCCAUGGCCCCACAGCAAGUGACAGCAGAGAUUCAGAGGUAGGUAGGCUAAUUGCAAAACCAUUGUUCUUAACUGUUGUGUUAUGCUACCUCUGGAAUAUCAAACGUAUAGCUUUACUUGUUCAGUCAUUGCUGGAUUCAGGGCCCAAACAAGGUUAUUGGGAUUCUCUCUCAUGUUGUAUUUUGGCUCAGUUUUUCUCUGGGUUGAUUUUAUCCUCAGGCAGGCAUUGCCGGUGAAGUGACAGUAUAGCUGCUGGGAUGAGAACUGCAUAUUCAUAAUUUAGCAAUUUGUGUGGAAAGAGAGAAUUUAUUUUAACAAUACAGUUCUAGCAAAUGUUCUAGAAUUGACUCUCAUUGGGUCAGUUUGAGUUUUAUUCCUAUUCCUGAACCAGUCACUGUGGCCUGAGGGUAGGGAUGGGAUAGAGUGGAAUGUUCUUAUUGGCCAGUCUGGGCCAUGUGUGUUUCCAUCCCUGGAUCUGAGACGGGGGAAUGAAUCCUUACCUCCAGGGAACAUCAGGGUGCUAAUACCAGAAAUGGGAAUGGAUAUGGGCCAGGCAAAAACAAAUGUUCACCACGCUUAAGAUAUUAGGACCUCACUGGGUGCAAUGGCUCACGCCUGUAAUCCCAGUACUUUGGGAGGCUGAGGCAGGCAGAUCACCUGAGGUUAGAAGUUUGAGACCAGCCUGGUCAACAUGGCAAAACCCCAUCUCUACUAAAAAUACAAAAAUUAGCCGGGUGUGGUGGCAUGCGCCUGUAAUCCCAGCUACUGGGGAGGCUGAGGCAGGAGAAUUGCUUGAACCCGGGAGGCGGAGGUUGCAGUGAGCUGAGAUCAUGCCACUACACUCCAGCCUGGGUGACAGAGCGAGACUCAAUCUCAAGGGAAAAAAAAAAGGAUAUUAGGACCGUGCUCACCCAGUAGGAUCCGUCUGCUUGAUUUCUAUUUUAGCCUUAACAUGUCAAAUAUUUUUACAGAAUUAUGAUGAAUUAUGAUAAAUUGAAAUCACGUCUGGGAGAGAUUCAUGAUAGCAAAAUGCGUCUAGAGCAGGAUUUGAAGAAACAAGCUUUGGACAACCGAGAAAUAGAUAAAAAAAUGAAUAGUAUCAAACCUGACCUGAUCCAGCUGCGAAAGAUCCGAGAUCAACACCUUGUAUGGCUCAAUCACAAAGGAGUGAGACAGAAACGCCUGAAUGUCUGGCUGGGAAUUAAGAAUGAGGAUGCUGAUGAGAACUAUUUUAUCAAUGAGGAAGAUGAAAACCUGCCCCAUUAUGAUGAGAAAACCUGGUUUGUUGAGGAUAUCAAUCGAGUACAAGCAGAGGACUUGCUUUAUGGGAAACCUGAUGGUGCAUUCUUAAUUCGUGAGAGUAGCAAGAAAGGAUGCUAUGCUUGCUCUGUGGUGGCCGAUGGGGAAGUGAAGCACUGUGUGAUCUACAGCACUGCUCGGGGCUAUGGCUUUGCAGAGCCCUACAACCUGUACAGCUCUCUGAAGGAGCUAGUGCUCCAUUACCAGCAGACAUCCUUGGUUCAGCACAACGACUCCCUCAACGUCAGGCUUGCCUACCCUGUUCAUGCACAGAUGCCCUCGCUUUGCAGAUAAAGAGGAAGUGGGAAGAGAGGUGGUUCUCUGGCAUUUUUUCCUACAGUUUUUAUUAGACUACGAUGAGGGCAUUCUUUCUACAUAGACUGCUUGUUUUGCACAAGAAGUGAUUUUGUGAAUGUGAAGUGGAGAGGCCGAGCAGCAGCCGGCCGGGAUGGGGGCAUUAGAGGCCUGAGGUUCUCUAGGACUCAGCCAUGCCGCUGCACUGACAUACUAAGCUGGAAGCAGAUGUUUUUUUUGAAAGUCUAUUUCAUUGGGGUUUUUGUUUUGUUUAGCCAGGCACCCUCAACAGAAUAUUAGGCUUGAUGGUUAUAGCGGGUGGGGUUGUAUUUGGAAGCCUCUGAAGAGGCCUUGUCUUUUUUAAAUCUAACUCUUGAGAGUGCAGCAGGGGCAUGGCUCUGCUGGGAGUUGUGUUUUGCUUUGGCAGUCUCUCUUCCCCCCACAAAGAAGGCUGUUUAGGUUUUGUGAUAGAAUGGGAUUUGAUGAAAAAGACAACCAAAGGAAAAUGGGGAGGCUUGGGAUUUCAUUUAAAUAAUCUAAGCCAAGAUGAUAAAAAAAAACCUUCAACUGAAGGUACUUUGUUUCUUACCAACAUAAUUUAGGCUUCAGCAUCUCACCAGCCCCUCCCUCUGAAGAAGUAUUAUGUUCAGAAGCCAACAAAACAGUUUGUUGCCAGACCAAUGUUUGAUGGGAAAACGUGGCACUCGUAGUUGAAUGUAUACUUCUGUACCAAAACUUGAACAUAAAAAGACUAGAAUUUGUGAGUUUUAGCAAACACUAAAAUUGAUCACUGUAACUAACCCCUUCUGUCCUUCCUGCCUGUUUCUCUGAGAUGAGGAAUAGCAUUCUUUUUGUGGGGAUGGUGAGCUUUGAAUCAUAAAAUGAAGUCGGUGCUUGUAUGGUGUUUCCUUAGCCUAAAGAAUGAUCUGUUGUUUGAAACCUUUGUAACUUGUUUGUAUGAGUAAAGAAAAGGUGCAAUCCAGUGCUUUUAGAUGGCUUGAUAUACCAAAUAACAAUAUAGAACAACAUUAUU